AACGAACGCUGGCGGCAUGCCUAACACAUGCAAGUCGAACGUGAUCCGGGGCUUCGGCUCCGGUGAAAGUGGCGGACGGGUGAGUAACGCGUGGGAACCUGCCCAGUGGUAGGGGAUAACCGCGGGAAACUGCGGCUAAUACCCUAUGCGCCCUAUGGGGCAAAGAUUUAUCGCCAUUGGAGGGGCCCGCGUCGGAUUAGGUAGUUGGUGAGGUAACGGCUCACCAAGCCUUCGAUCCGUAGCUGGCUGAGAGGAUGAUCAGCCACACUGGGACUGAGACACGGCCCAGACUCCUACGGGAGGCAGCAGUGGGGAGUAUUGGACAAUGGGGGCAACCCUGAUCCAGCAAUGCCGCGUGCAGGAAGAAGGCCUUCGGGUU
rnacentral:rRNA from 1 species